AUCGCUUCCUGGUCUUUUGACUAAGAUCAAGUGUAGUAUCUGUUCUUACCUGUUUAAUAUCUGAUGCGUCUUCUAUCAAGGACAAUGUACUCUCUGGAUUUUUGGAGCAGGGAGUUGGAAUAGGAGCUUGCUCUGUUCUCUCCAUGUGUCGACCUAGUAUUGCAGUAUCUCCAGCAACAGUGCAAAAAAG
ensembl:snRNA U2 U2 spliceosomal RNA